AAGGGGGGACGGAGAAGGCUAUGUUGGCCGGGCGACGGUUGUCCCGGUUUAAGCGUGUAGGCUGGUUUUCCAGGCAAAUCCGGAAAAUCAAGGCUGAGGCGUGAUGACGAGGCACUACGGUGCUGAAGCAACAAAUGCCCUGCUUCCAGGAAAAGCCUCUAAGCAUCAGGUAACAUCAAAUCGUACCCCAAACCGACACAGGUGGUCAGGUAGAGAAUACCAAGGCGCUUGAGAGAACUCGGGUGAAGGAACUAGGCAAAAUGGUGCCGUAACUUCGGGAGAAGGCACGCUGAUAUGUAGGUGAAGUCCCUCGCGGAUGGAGCUGAAAUCAGUCGAAGAUACCAGCUGGCUGCAACUGUUUAUUAAAAACACAGCACUGUGCAAACACGAAAGUGGACGUAUACGGUGUGACGCCUGCCCGGUGCCGGAAGGUUAAUUGAUGGGGUUAGCGCAAGCGAAGCUCUUGAUCGAAGCCCCGGUAAACGGCGGCCGUAACUAUAACGGUCCUAAGGUAGCGAAAUUCCUUGUCGGGUAAGUUCCGACCUGCACGAAUGGCGUAAUGAUGGCCAGGCUGUCUCCACCCGAGACUCAGUGAAAUUGAACUCGCUGUGAAGAUGCAGUGUACCCGCGGCAAGACGGAAAGACCCCGUGAACCUUUACUAUAGCUUGACACUGAACAUUGAGCCUUGAUGUGUAGGAUAGGUGGGAGGCUUUGAAGUGUGGACGCCAGUCUGCAUGGAGCCGACCUUGAAAUACCACCCUUUAAUGUUUGAUGUUCUAACGUUGACCCGUAAUCCGGGUUGCGGACAGUGUCUGGUGGGUAGUUUGACUGGGGCGGUCUCCUCCUAAAGAGUAACGGAGGAGCACGAAGGUUGGCUAAUCCUGGUCGGACAUCAGGAGGUUAGUGCAAUGGCAUAAGCCAGCUUGACUGCGAGCGUGACGGCGCGAGCAGGUGCGAAAGCAGGUCAUAGUGAUCCGGUGGUUCUGAAUGGAAGGGCCAUCGCUCAACGGAUAAAAGGUACUCCGGGGAUAACAGGCUGAUACCGCCCAAGAGUUCAUAUCGACGGCGGUGUUUGGCACCUCGAUGUCGGCUCAUCACAUCCUGGGGCUGAAGUAGGUCCCAAGGGUAUGGCUGUUCGCCAUUUAAAGUGGUACGCGAGCUGGGUUUAGAACGUCGUGAGACAGUUCGGUCCCUAUCUGCCGUGGGCGCUGGAGAACUGAGGGGGGCUGCUCCUAGUACGAGA
rnacentral:rRNA from 1 species